rnacentral:lncRNA from 1 species
GCUUCUCGCUGGUGAUUGAGGGAGAUGCUGUCCAAUUCCAAAAGCCUGCACUGGCUUGGACACAGCACUGCUAAUAAAGCCGCUUCUUACUGUUCGGCCAUUCCUUACUUUACCUCAUUUGGUUAAACCACAAGCUCAGUGCUUGGAACUUCCGUUUUCUUAUCUUGAACAUCGCGUACUGUUCCAGCUCACAGCCAGCCACCCAGGAAGGAAGCGUUUUGUUCCUUUUAGACAGAGGCCCUGGCCGGCCACAUGGCCACGCUGUUGAAAAGCUCUAAAUUUUCCGACGAGCUCUGGGACCCUUAGCAGGGGAGACUGGAAACAGACAAGCUGGACCUCUGCCUGUAUGGCGAUUUCUGAGAUGCUAAGAAGUCCUCAAUUUCUUCUCCUUUGAUAGACUACCCAAUAUUUGAGCUGCUACCGUUAUGAGUUUCACGCGUAUUUUAUGAGUUAAAAGAAGAAAGCAGGACCAUUUUGGGUACGGGCCGAGGCAAGAGUUCCUGUUGCUUUGGAUUCUGACUUCUGGGUCUGAAUUGAGGGCAGGCUCAGGUGAAUAAGCCUGGACUAGCCUGCUGGAGGUGAGGGACCACGUGGAGCAGAGGUUCCAGUAGCAGGCAUUGCUGGUUGCCCACUGAUAUUGAUUAGCUGGCAACUAUCCCAACUCCAGGGGCAAAUCUUCAUUGAAAAAGGCAGCAAUGGUGGCUGCAAUCCCUUCAUUGGCUAUUGCACAGGAGUAAACAUGUGACCCACUUUUGACUAUGAAAUAAAAGGCCUGGGCCAACUAGGGGAC